UAAUGCAAUUGAAUUAAGGGUCACUCAAACAGAUAAUUCGGUCUUGGAGAUGAGGAUAUCAUCAGUGUCUGCAUAAAGCCACUCCCCAUCACAGAUCCUAGUCCCAGGAAUGGUUAUCGGGACAUGUUUCUCCCCGAUUCCCUUCUUAUUGCCCUUCAUUGGAUGAGAAUGAAACGCUCUCACCCCAAUGUCACAACCGUUUAUCUCGUCAACAUCCCUUACACAGUCGUUCACCACUAUUCCAGCCCAUCCGUUAUUUUGAGCUUGAACCAUAGGGUUGCCUCCA